ensembl:rRNA 5S_rRNA 5S ribosomal RNA
GCUUACGGCCAUACCAGCCCAAGAACGCCCGGUCUCGUCUGAUCUCGGAAGCUAUGAAGGCUUGGGCCUGAUUACUACUUGGAUAGGAGACUUCCUGUGAAUACCAGGUGCUGUAAGCU